UACGGAGGGUGCGAGCGUUGUCCGGAAUCAUUGGGCGUAAAGAGCUCGUAGGCGGUCUGUCGCGUCUGCUGUGAAAACUCGGGGCUUAACCCCGGGCCUGCAGUGGGUACGGGCAGACUAGAGUGCGGUAGGGGGAGACUGGAAUUCCUGGUGUAGCGGUGAAAUGCGCAGAUAUCAGGAGGAACACCGGUGGCGAAGGCGGGUCUCUGGGCCGUAACUGACGCUGAGGAGCGAAAGCAUGGGGAGCGAACAGG
rnacentral:rRNA from 1 species